UGAGGAAUAUUGGUCAAUGGACGCAAGUCUGAACCAGCCAAUUAGCGUGCAGGAUGACGGCCCUAUGGGUUGUAAACUGCUUUUAUAUGGGGAUAAAGUGGGGAACGUGUUCCCUUUUGCAGGUACCAUAUGAAUAAGGACCGGCUAAUUCCGUGCCAGCAGCCGCGGUAAUACGGAAGGUUCGGGCGUUAUCCGGAUUUAUUGGGUUUAAAGGGAGCGUAGGCCGUUUGGUAAGCGUGUUGUGAAAUGUAGGAGCUCAACUUCUAGAUUGCAGCGAGAACUGUCAGACUUGAGUGCGCACAACGUAGGCGGAAUUCAUGGUGUAGCGGUGAAAUGCUUAGAUAUCAUGAAGAACUCCGAUUGCGAAGGCAGCUUACGGGAGCGCAACUGACGCUGAAGCUCGAAGGUGCGGGUAUCGAACAGG
rnacentral:rRNA from 1 species